GAUGAACGCUGGCGGCGUGCCUAAUACAUGCAAGUCGAGCGAACAGACGAGGAGCUUGCUCCUCUGACGUUAGCGGCGGACGGGUGAGUAACACGUGGAUAACCUACCUAUAAGACUGGGAUAACUUCGGGAAACCGGAGCUAAUACCGGAUAAUAUAUUGAACCGCAUGGUUCAAUAGUGAAAGACGGUUUUGCUGUCACUUAUAGAUGGAUCCGCGCCGCAUUAGCUAGUUGGUAAGGUAACGGCUUACCAAGGCGACGAUGCGUAGCCGACCUGAGAGGGUGAUCGGCCACACUGGAACUGAGACACGGUCCAGACUCCUACGGGAGGCAGCAGUAGGGAAUCUUCCGCAAUGGGCGAAAGCCUUACGGAGCAACGCCGCGUGAGUGAUGAAGAUCUUCGGAUCGUAAAACUCUGUUAUUAGGGAAGAACAAAUGUGUAAGUAACUAUGCACGUCUUGACGGUACCUAAUCAGAAAGCCACGGCUAACUACGUG
rnacentral:rRNA from 1 species